rnacentral:rRNA from 1 species
GACGAACGCUGGCGGCGUGCUUAACACAUGCAAGUCGAACGAUGAAGUUCCUUCGGGAAUGGAUUAGUGGCGAACGGGUGAGAAACACGUGAGAAACCUGCCUUUCAUUUUGGGAUAACUCCGGGAAACCGGAGCUAACACCGAAUACUCCGUCUCGGCGGCAUCGCUGAGCCGGGAAAAAAUUUUGAUGAAAGAUGGUCUCGCGGCCUAUCAGCUAGUUGGUGAGGUAAUGGCUCACCAAGGCGACGACGGGUAGCCGGCCUGAGAGGGCGACCGGCCACACUGGGACUGAGACACGGCCCAGACUCCUACGGGAGGCAGCAGUGGGGAAUAUUGGGCAAUGGGCGCAAGCCUGACCCAGCGACGCCGCGUGAGGGAUGAAGGCCUUCGGGUUGUAAACCUCUUUCAGUAGGGAAGAAGCGAAAGUGACGGUACCUAAAGAAGAAGCACCGGCUAACUAUGUGCCAGCAGCCGCCGCAG